rnacentral:pre_miRNA from 1 species
AAUAGGAGAAAGACAAAUUAGAUUUUUCUUUCUAAUAUUCAACUUUUUCUCCUGAAAAAAAUUUAAAUCUAACUAAAAAUGCUAAAAAUCAGGUAGAAAAAUCUGAUUUGCCAUUCUCCUAUU